ACGGAGCUGCGGAGACGUCUGCUUGCUCUACGCUUACCGACCAGCCGACCGACCUACAUACCGGGACACCGGUGUCGUCAUCGUGUCGACGAAACGUAGCGGGCGUCGUGCGUGCAGCAUCAGAGCGCACGUUCUACCGGAAAGAUCACGGAGCAUAUGAAGCUGCUGGGCGUUUGGUGUGCGCAAAUAGCUGUGUGAGUGCUCUUUGCUCUUUUGUGGACAGCUUGAAGGUGGAGCAGCCUCCUGGUGCUUUCAGAUGUGCGUGGAACAAGACGAAUCUAUGACAGCUGCUCACCAUGCAGGCGAGGAAAAUUAUGGGUUGAAUAGUUCUAGGGAGCUUGGAGACGCUCUCGGGGCGACAGAGGAUGAGGCGGCGCGCGUGCGGCUCUUACUGGCUGCGACAGUGCAGGAGCCUGUGACGUGUCCGCCGGCAGCGCACACCGCGGAUGCCGGCUCUGCUGGUUCGCAGCCAGCACGUCGAUCCUGGCGCUACCGUUUAUCGGUUUGGUGGUAUCGCUACAAGGUAUUUACCUUGUGGGUGGUUCUCGAACCGAGCGAAGUUGCAGUCACGCAGACGAUUUUGUGGUCGACGAUACUCGUCAUUGGGUAUCGAGUUCUGAUGCGUAUUUGGCGUUUUCUCCGAUGACGGUUCACGUGUUGGCGCCGUUUCCAUCUGGCGGCUGUUGUGGGAAUCCAGCAGCAGACAAGUCCGUGACGGUAUUGUUGGCAGAGCUUGCAUCGCAUGCUAACCCAUGAUCUCGGUUGACAAAGGUGGGCGCAGUUUUGCAGUAGUCUCAUCGCGACAUGGAGUACAGAUUGAAAUUGAAUGAAUGGGCAUGAAUCAGGAUUACAUGUGCUAAACCGUGCCUGAUGACUCUCAUGCGAAACCGUUUGUGCGGGGCUUCCCAUCGAGCGCACCAAACAAAUGGCAAGCCGCUUCUCGAAAAUGCCCAGCUCGAGGUUUUAGUGCGGACACUGAGUCGCUCAGAGGCUGCUCGUGUGCUUUCAGGGCACUGAUUCGGUGCAAGGAGCGAGCGUUCGGAGUCGUCGACCGCCGGCUGCGGGACGGUUCGUUCCGAGCGCCGUACCGGGCGCGUGCAGGCUCUAUGGUGCCGAAAAUAGCGGCAAAAAUGCGAAACACGGACUUGUGCAGCGCUCUGGUUGGAUACGAGCGAGAUCGCCGGGAUCGACGCUGGACGCCACCGAUACUGGUGUUGCAGGUUGCGUUUUCGAGCGCCGUGCGUUGUGCACCAAGCAGUGAGUUGCAGAAAAACCGUGCCAUUGCACCCUUUUUGUUGAUGUUUGCUUCUCUCGCAUCUAUUCAACAAAAGCGGUUCAUCCUGUAGGUUGGAUAAAGAUCGCGGGAGGACUUGAUGCCAUCACUGGCACGUUACGGAAAACGACGUUACUUGUGCAGAUCAGUGAUUCUAUGGUCAACAGAUGGACGAGCCACCCUUCUCGUCGUUCUUAUCGUGUACGCGGUGCUCCAGAGAACAGCGCUUACCAAACGCUAUCUACCCGGCUGUGCCCUCGUCAACUCAAUCGACUCUGUACGCACUCAGACGUAUAGAAUCAAUGACCCCACCGGAUGAGAAGAUUCUAUUCGAUUGAUACGAACGGUGAUAAUGCUUCGCUGAUGGACCCACAAGAAAGCACGUUUCUCUUGGAGGCCGUCACAUGUCCAACAACACAGCAUCGAUUUCGUAGUAAGACGUGGACGCGUCUUCCAGUCGAGAUGGGCGUUCGUCUCACUCGUUGAGACUUCGUUCGGGAUAAACAGCAGACCCGUGUAUGGGUACGCAAAGAGGCGCAAACCUCUGUUCGUAAAGAAGAGACAGUCGGGUAUUCCGAGAGCGUGAGCCCUCGCGGCGU